GCCCCCCCCACGAAACCCCCCUGCCGCUCCUAGCCGGGCGAGGGGGGGACCGUGGGGGGGGCGGACAAUGACCUCCCGUGCGGGCGCUUCGACCCGCGGUUGGUCCAAAAAUCGAGUCCCCUGUCACGUCGUCGUGGCAACAGGUAGUCGAUCAAUCGGUGCCACCGCCACGUGCGUCGGGCACGCAUCGGGACUCCGAUAGACCCCAACGCGCCCGUCACGGGUGCCUCACAACGCGACCCCAGGUCA
rnacentral:misc_RNA from 1 species